rnacentral:rRNA from 1 species
GACGAACGCUGGCGGCGUGCCUAACACAUGCAAGUCGAACGGAGAAUUUAGCAAUGAAUUCUUAGUGGCGAACGGGUGAGUAACGCGUAGACAACCUGCCUUUUAGAUGGGGACAACACCGCGAAAGUGGUGCUAAUACCGAAUGUUGCAUUUUGAUCGCAUGAUUGAGAUACUAAAGAUGGCCUCUAUUUAUAAGCUAUCGCUAAAAGAUGGGUCUGCGUCUGAUUUGCUAGUUGGUGAGGUAAUGGCUCACCAAGGCGACGAUCAGUAGCCGGUCUGAGAGGAUGAACGGCCACACUGGGACUGAGACACGGCCCAGACUCCUACGGGAGGCAGCAGUGGGGAAUCUUCCGCAAUGGACGAAAGUCUGACGGAGCAACGCCGCGUGAGUGAAGAAGGUUUUCGGAUCGUAAAACUCUGUUUUCAGGGACGAAUGUGCAGAUUGUGAGUAAUGAUUUGUAAUGACGGUACCUGAGUAGAAAGCCACGGCUAACUACGUGCCAGCCGCCGCGGUAA